AGCGUUGGGCCCUAAUCCAUGACACUCACAGUUCCAGGUUAGAACAUAGCAUUUGAAAGAUCAUAUUUUACUUUUGGUUACGAAAAUAUCCCAUCUAAAAUUGUUGUCUCUCAUAUUAGGUAUAUGAUCAUGACAACGAACAUAGUGGAGGCGUUCAACAAUGUCCUAGAGGGUGUACGCGGCCUCCUGUUGUGUGUCACCAUUGAGCUCACAUUCUAUAGAACGGCUGACUACUUUCGAGAUCGUGGUAUAGCUGCAAUGGAGUGCAACACGCGGUUUGCACAUAAGGUGGAGGAAAUCAUAUCCAGAAGGAGUAAGGCACACUUUCAUCAAACUAAGAUCUACGACCGGGCCAACAAUGAAUUUGAGGUUAUGUGUCGUCGUCGGUACACUUCAGGAUACAGCGCGGGGGACAUCGUGCAAUAAUGUCAAAUUGGUCCUCACGAGGUGAAGUGUACAUGCAAUAAGCCAAAACUGCACCAUAUCCCUUGCUCCCAUGUCUUGCCUGCUUGCAAGGACAUGGGCGGCAACGACGGAUCACAAUACGUAUCACCCUAUUUCACGAUCGAUGCACUGAGGAGCACAUGACUUCCAAAGAUGUGUUCCUUCAACAUCGGAAGCAGCUACAAAGCAAUCGAGGGGCUUAAGUGGGUACCUUAUCCCAGAGCCUGACGCACAGAUCCUGGAAGGCCUAAAGCCACGAGGCUGCAAGGUGACAUGGAUGCAGCAAAUGCUGUUGAUGGACUACGUAGAAGCAAAAUAUGCAAACAAUUUGGCUAUGACAGGAGGACUUGUCCGACCCGGCGGUAAACUAUUAGGCUAUGAUCGAACUGGAAUGUAUUAGAUUUGUUGCCAUUGAGUUUGUUUUAUGAAGUUAAUUGGAAACAUGGAUUUUAUUGUAAUUUAUUAUGCACCUAUAAGUUGUUGUACCUAUUUUGUAAUAGUUGUUAUCUUACGUUGUUUUGUAAUUGAAUCAUGAGGCUUGAAAUCAUUGGCAUGGCUCACGUUCACCUUCCCGAGCUUCUUCAACUACGGUACGAUGAGAACCAUAGGGGAAGGAUGAUUUUCACAGGGCAACAGUUGAUCUCAUUGCGUUCCAGAGUGUGCGCAAGCUUAAGGAGUUAGACCCUCGAUUCCAUGAGCCACUCGCAUAGGCCGGACUACUACCGUUUGCUUGUAUGAUGGCAGGAGCUCCCAUGGAGGGUGGUGGCAGGACUCCCCUGCCGCCGAUCGAGGUGUCACUGCUCACAGGCCUCGUCGACCGCUGGCGUCCUGAGAUGCACACGUUCCACUUUCCUUGUGGAGAGAUGACCGUAAUUUUGCAGGACGUGGCCAUGCUGACCAGGCUCCCGAUAAGGGGCACUCUGUUAGUACUUUCACGACCAGCAAAGGAGCAAUGGAAGAGUUAUAUUCAGGACAGGUUUAAUAUGCAAUAUGACAUGAAGGAUGUUGGGCUCUC